UACGAAGGGGGCUAGCGUUGUUCGGAAUCACUGGGCGUAAAGCGUCCGCAGGUGGCUGUGUAAGUCUGCUGUCAAAGAGCGAAGCUCAACUUCGUAAAGGCAGUGGAAACUACACGGCUAGAGUGCGUUCGGGGCAGAGGGAAUUCCUGGUGUAGCGGUGAAAUGCGUAGAGAUCAGGAAGAACACCGGUGGCGAAGGCGCUCUGCUAGGCCGCAACUGACACUGAGGGACGAAAGCUAGGGGAGCGAAUGGG
rnacentral:rRNA from 1 species